UGCCUGUGCCUCUGGGACAACCCAGAGGCCCUGCUGGUGAAUCAGCAGAACAGAAUCCUGCCUCUGAGCCUGAAGGGGAUGCUGGAGAUGUGACUGGAGGAGGUGAUCCAGGUUCCGCUCUGAGCUCUGGGACUGAAACUCCGGCAGAUCGCAUGGGAGUGCCCCCAGGGAGGGCUUUGCCCGGUCAUGUGUUUCCUCCUGCGCUGGAGCCCAGCUGGAAUCCCAGCGGUCCGGAAAAAGGAAAGGAUGAACCCAAAAGAGGAGAAUACUCCCAGGGCUCAUCCCGUCUCCUCAAGGAACUGGUGAAGGAAAUGGAGAAGGCAGCGCGUGGAACUGACCAACAAAGUGAGCAGGAUGCACUGCAGGAAGGCAGCCAUCCCACACUGCCAGUCUCGGGCAAAGGAACGCAGGCAGCGCCAACAACUGUCAUGCCAGGGAUGAAUGCCGGGACGAGCACAAAGGCUGCUGUUGGCAGAUCUGCGCGAAGGCGCCACAUCGCAGCGAUGGUACUGUUCUCAGCUGUGCUGCUGUCUGCGCUGGUGCUGGCCUGUGGUGCUGUGAUAUGGAUGUGCCAAAAAUACGUAGUGUGCAAGAGAGAAGAGAGAGCAGCAGAGCAGGCUCAUCCUGAUACCAACUAGGAGAGAGUUCCAACUGGAGACGAGGGCAGAACGGAGCUGGGAGAGGCAGCCGAAGAGACUCUUGCCCCAUCAAAGAAGAAUCUCAGCCAUCGUCCCAGUGCAUUCCAUUCUGCCAUCCAAGAGGCCAAAGGUCUUCAAAGUCAUCUGGAAGACUUGGAGCUUGAACUCAAAGCCGUGAAAGAGGUCCACGGGAACAGUCCUGAGUGCUGCUUUCUGUCAGGGGACGGCCCUGAAAGUGAGAGCGGAGAACCAGCAGCAGAGCUUUUGUCCUUCACCCUGCAUUCUCUGGGACAAGCAUCAGCAACAUUUCAAAGAUUCUUAGCUCGGCAUAGCUACAAUCCUGUUGAGGGUCCUAAUGAGGAGCCAGAAAGCGAGCUUCCUCUGACCGCUGGACAACACCUUAACGUCUUUGGAGCUGUGGAUGAGAAUGGCUGGUUUCAGGGAGAGCUGACAGAUGGCACAAGAGGACUGGUCCCAUCCAGUUUGGUUGCGGAGGUUUCAGAUGAUGAACUGGAUACAACGAUGCCUCCGGAGCUCUGUGCUCUCCUGCUGGAUACUUGAUGAAUAAGUGGAUGCAGAGAUUCCAUCAUGCAGCAACAUCCUGUCAAAAUUCCUGCGUUACUCCAUCUGCAAGACUACCCCCUGCUCCACUUGAUGUUCAGGUGGAGUGUGUGCAGGACGUGGAUGAGCUCCUUUGGGAACACUCUGAGGUGACUGACAGUGUAACUGCAUAGUCUUGUGGUAUAUUAAACAAACAAACAAACAAACACCACCCACAAUAAAACAACCAACC
rnacentral:lncRNA from 1 species